CUACGUGCCAGCAGCCGCGGUAAUACGUAGGGUGCGAGCGUUAAUCGGAAUUACUGGGCGUAAAGCGGGCGCAGACGGUUACUUAAGCAGGAUGUGAAAUCCCCGGGCUCAACCUGGGAACUGCGUUCUGAACUGGGUGACUAGAGUGUGUCAGAGGGAGGUAGAAUUCCACGUGUAGCAGUGAAAUGCGUAGAGAUGUGGAGGAAUACCGAUGGCGAAGGCAGCCUCCUGGGAUAACACUGACGUUCAUGCCCGAAAGCGUGGGUAGCAAACAGGAUUAGAUACCCUGGUAGUCCACGCCCUAAACGAUGUCGAUUAGCUGUUGGGCAGCAUGACUGCUUAGUAGCGAAGCUAACGCGUGAAAUCGACCGCCUGGGGAGUACGGUCGCAAGAUUAAAACUCAAAGGAAUUGACGGGGACCCGCACAAGCGGUGGAUGAUGUGGAUUAAUUCGAUGCAACGCGAAGAACCUUACCUGG
rnacentral:rRNA from 1 species